rnacentral:lncRNA from 1 species
CGUGCAAGAUGGCUAUCAUAGUACUAAAAACCCUUUAAGGGGGCCUUCAAAUACAUUUUAAUUUUGUUUUUUAGCUUAUUCAUACUUUUCUUAAGCCUAAUGACAUUGUCAAAUUAACUGUUUUGUGUAAAAUUGUGGACAAAAAUGCUCUUUGAAAAUUUCAAUUUGGGAGCCUCCAUGGGGGAAACCCCACGCAAAUAGUGA